CAAAUGUAAUUAUCUUUGUAUUCUGUUACAUCAAAAUCCAGAUAUUUUGUUGCAGUUUCUUUUUUUUUUUUUUGAGACCAGGUUGGUGCAGUGGUGCAGUCUCAGCUCACUGCAGCCUCAAACUCCUGGGCAGCUCAGGGACAGGGUCUCACUGUGUUGCCUAGGCUGAUCUCAAACUGCUGGGCUCAAGUGAUCGUUCCUCCUUGGCCUCCUGAAGUGCUGGAAUUAUAGGUGUGAACCACCAUGUCUGGCCUUAUUGUAGUUUAUUUCUAAGUUCAAAUUAAUGUUUGUGCUUUUCCUCCUUUUUUCUUAGCAGAUGGUUUGCUAGACAGAGUCUUGCCAUGCUGCCCAGGCUGGAGUGCAGUGAUGUGAUCUCGGCUCACUGCAGCCUCCACCUCCCGGGCUCCAGCAGUCCUCCCACCUCAACCUCCCUAAGAGCUGAGACUACAGUGCACAGCCAGAGAACAACACAUCACACACAAGAAACAGUUGUGCUCAUGUGAUGGGGGCCUCAGCACUAGGAAGGAGUGGACUGUUGGCGCACGCAGCAGCUUGAAUAAAUCUGAAAGUCACUACGCUGCGUAAGAGAAGCCAAAUAAAGCGCAUGCUGUGUACAGAGGGUGUCGAGAAUGUGUCCUACGUGACGGAAAGCAGAUCCGUGGUUCCCUGCAGACUGGCAGGAGCAGAU
rnacentral:lncRNA from 1 species